UAGCGUAUAUUUAAGUUGUUGCAGUUAAAAAGCUCGUAGUUGGAUUUUGGUUAAGAGGGCGCGGUCGGCCGUUUGGUCUGUACUGCGUUGUCUUGACUUCCUGAUGAGGACAUGCUCUUGGUUAACGCUGAGACAUAGAGUCAUCGUGGUUACUUUGAAAAAAUUAGAGUGUUCAAAGCGGGCUUACGCUUGAAUAUAUUAGCAUGGAAUAACACUAUAGGACUCCUGUCCUAUCUCGUUGGUCUCGGGAUGGGAGUAAUGAUUAAGAGGAACAGUUGGGGGCAUUCGUAUUUCAUUGUCAGAGGUGAAAUUCUUGGAUUUAUGAAAGACGAACUUCUGCGAAAGCAUUUGCCAAGGAUGUUUUCAUUAAUCAAGAACGAAAGUUGGGGGCUCGAAGAUGAUUAGAUACCAUCCUAGUCUCAACCAUAAACGAUGCCGACUAGGGAUUGGUGGAUGUUAAUUGAUGACUUCACCAGCACCUUAUGAGAAAUCAAAGUUUUUGGGUUCCGGGGGGAGUAUGGUCGCAAGGCUGAAACUUAAAGGAAUUGAC
rnacentral:rRNA from 1 species